GCCAGUAUAGCUCAGUCAGUAGAGCAUGAGACUGUUAAUCUCAGGGUCACUAUGAUGUCUCUCUAGAAUAAUGUCA
rnacentral:tRNA from 1 species